UCGAGGAUCUUCAGCAAUGCCCGAAAGGGUGACUAUGCGACGCCGCGUGCAGGAUGAAGGCCUUCGGGUCGUAAACUGCUGUCAGGGGGGAAGAAACCUUACGUGUAAAUAGCACGUAAGCUGACAUCACCCCCAAAGGAAGCCACGGCUAACUCUGUGCCAGCAGCCGCGGUAAGACAGAGGUGGCAAGCGUUGUUCGGAUUUAUUGGGUGUAAAGGGCAGGUAGGUGGCCAAGCAAGUCUGGUGUGAAAUCCCAGGGCUCAACCCUGGAACUGCAUUGGAAACUGCUUGGCUUGAGUGCCGCAGAGGUAAGGGGAAUUCUCGGUGUAAGGGUGAAAUCUGUAGAUACCGAGAGGAACACCAGUGGCGAAGGCGCCUUACUGGGCGGUUACUGACACUGAGCUGCGAAAGCAAGGGGAGCAAACAGG
rnacentral:rRNA from 1 species